rnacentral:rRNA from 1 species
AUACGGAGGGUGCAAGCGUUAAUCGGAAUUACUGGGCGUAAAGCGUACGUAGGCGGUCCGUUAAGUUAGAUGUGAAAGCCCCGGGCUUAACCUGGGAACUGCAUUUAAAACGGGCGGACUAGAGUUGAGUAAAGGGGAGUGGAAUUUCAGGUGUAGCGGUGAAAUGCGUAGAGAUCUGAAGGAACACCAGUGGCGAAGGCGACUCCCUGGACUCGAACUGACGCUGAGGUACGAAAGCGUGGGUAGCAAACGGGAUUAGAAACCCCAGUAGUCC